AGUGAACGCUGGCGGUAGGCCUAACACAUGCAAGUCGAACGGCAGCACAGUAAGAGCUUGCUCUUACGGGUGGCGAGUGGCGGACGGGUGAGGAAUACAUCGGAAUCUACUUUUUCGUGGGGGAUAACGUAGGGAAACUUACGCUAAUACCGCAUACGACCUACGGGUGAAAGCAGGGGAUCUUCGGACCUUGCGCGAUUGAAUGAGCCGAUGUCGGAUUAGCUAGUUGGCGGGGUAAAGGCCCACCAAGGCGACGAUCCGUAGCUGGUCUGAGAGGAUGAUCAGCAAAAAGGAAAAGGGGAAAGGGGCCAAAACCCUAGGGGAGGAAGGAGGGGGGAAAAUGGGAAAAGGGGCGAAGGCCGGAACCAGCAAUACCGGGGGGGGGAAGAAGGCUUUCGGGUGGAAAAGCCCUUUUGUGGGGAAAAAAAAGAAGAAGGUUAAAACCCCGCUGUUGUGAGGGUACCAAAAGAAUAAGCACCGGCUAACUUGGG
rnacentral:rRNA from 1 species